CCCCGGCGCCACAAGUGGCAAUCACGUUUAUUGGGCCUAAAGCAUCCGUAGCCGAUUUUGUAAGUUCUUUGUGAAAUCGUCACACUUAACGUGACGGCGAGCAAGGGAUACUGCAAGGUUAGAGACCGGGAGAAGUCAAAGGUAUUCCUUGGGGAGCGGUAAAAUGUGAUAAUCCUUGGAAGACCACCGAUGGCGAAGGCAUUUGACUAGAACGGGUCUGACGGUGAGGGAUGAAAGCUAGGGGAGCAAACCG
rnacentral:rRNA from 1 species